CGGAGGGUGCGAGCGUUAAUCGGAAUAACUGGGCGUAAAGGGCACGCAGGCGGCUAUUUAAGUGAGGUGUGAAAUCCCCGGGCUUAACCUGGGAAUUGCAUUUCAGACUGGGUAGCUAGAGUACUUUAGGGAGGGGUAGAAUUCCACGUGUAGCGGUGAAAUGCGUAGAGAUGUGGAGGAAUACCGAAGGCGAAGGCAGCCCCUUGGGAAUGUACUGACGCUCAUGUGCGAAAGCGUGGGGAGCAAACAGGAUU
rnacentral:rRNA from 1 species